rnacentral:rRNA from 1 species
GUCAGGCUAGAGUGUAGCAGAGGGGGGUAGAAUUCCACGUGUAGCAGUGAAAUGCGUAGAGAUGUGGAGGAAUACCGAUGGCGAAGGCAGCCCCCUGGGCUAACACUGACGCUCAUGCACGAAAGCGUGGGGAGCAAACAGGAUUAGAUACCCUGGUAGUCCACGCCCUAAACGAUGUCAACUAGGUGUUGGGGAAGGAGACUUCUUUAGUACCGCAGCUAACGCGUGAAGUUGACCGCCUGGGGAGUACGGUCGCAAGAUUAAAACUCAAAGGAAUUGACGGGGACCCGCACAAGCGGUGGAUUAUGUGGAUUAAUUCGAUGCAACGCGAAAAACCUUACCUACCCUUGACAUGUCAGGAAGUUUCCAGAG